GCAAGUCGAGCGGAAACGAGAAUAGCUUGCUAUUCGGCGUCGAGCGGCGGACGGGUGAGUAAUGCUUGGGAAUAUGCCUUUGAGUGGGGGACAACAGUUGGAAACGACUGCUAAUACCGCAUAAUGUCUACGGACCAAAGGGGGCUUCGGCUCUCGCCUUUAGAUUGGCCCAAGUGGGAUUAGCUAGUUGGUGAGGUAAUGGCUCACCAAGGCGACGAUCUCUAGCUGGUUUGAGAGGAUGAUC
rnacentral:rRNA from 1 species